GCAGCGGUCCAAGUUCCUUGGAACAGGACGUCACAGAGGGUGAGAAUCCCGUACGUGGUCGCUAGCUAUUGCCGUGUAAAGCCCCUUCGACGAGUCGAGUUGUUUGGGAAUGCAGCUCUAAAUGGGAGGUAAAUUUCUUCUAAAGCUAAAUAUUGGCCAGAGACCGAUAGCGCACAAGUAGAGUGAUCGAAAGAUGAAAAGCACUUUGGAAAGAGAGUCAAACAGCACGUGAAAUUGUUGAAAGGGAAGCGCUUGCAGCCAGACUUGCUUGCAGUUGCUCAUCCGGGCUUUUGCCCGGUGCACUCUUCUGCAGGCAGGCCAGCAUCAGUUUGGGCGGUGGGAUAAAGGUCUCUGUCACGUACCAUCCUUCGGGAUGGCCAUAUAGGGGAGACGUCAUACCACCAGCCUGGACUGAGGUCCGCGCAUCUGCUAGGAUGCUGGCGUAAUGGCUGUAAGCGGCCCGUCUUGAAACACGGAC
rnacentral:rRNA from 1 species